rnacentral:rRNA from 1 species
UUGAUGUGUAGGAUAGGUGGGAGGCUUUGAAGUGUGGACGCCAGUCUGCAUGGAGCCGACCUUGAAAUACCACCCUUUAAUGUUUGAUGUUCUAACGUGGACCCGUAAUCCGGGUUGCGGACAGUGUCUGGUGGGUAGUUUGACUGGGGCGGUCUCCUCCUAAAGAGUAACGGAGGAGCACGAAGGUUGGCUAAUCCUGGUCGGACAUCAGGAGGUUAGUGCAAUGGCAUAAGCCAGCUUGACUGCGAGCGUGACGGCGCGAGCAGGUGCGAAAGCAGGUCAUAGUGAUCCGGUGGUUCUGAAUGGAAGGGCCAUCGCUCAACGGAUAAAAGGUACUCCGGGGAUAACAGGCUGAUACCGCCCAAGAGUUCAUAUCGACGGCGGUGUUUGGCACCUCGAUGUCGGCUCAUCACAUCCUGGGGCUGAAGUAGGUCCCAAGGGUAUGGCUGUUCGCCAUUUAAAGUGGUACGCGAGCUGGGUUUAGAACGUCGUGAGACAGUUCGGUCCCUAUCUGCCGUGGGCGCUGGAGAACUGAGGGGGGCUGCUCCUAGUACGAGAGGACCGGAGUGGACGCAUCACUGGUGUUCGGGUUGUCAUGCCAAUGGCACUGCCCGGUAGCUAAAUGCGGAAGAGAUAAGUGCUGAAAGCAUCUAAGCACGAAACUUGCCCCGAGAUGAGUUCUCCCUGAGACUUAGAGUCUCCUGAAGGAACGUUGAAGACGACGACGUUGAUAGGCCGGGUGUGUAAGCGCAGCGAUGCGUUGAGCUAACCGGUACUAAUGAACCGUGAGGCUUAACCUUAC